AUACGGAGGACGCGAGCGUUAUCCGGAUUCAUUGGGUUUAAAGGGUGCGCAGGCGGCCGUGCAAGUCAGCGGUGAAAGCCCGGGGCUCAACCCCGGAAGUGCCGUUGAUACUGCAUGGCUGGAAUGCGGUCGAGGCGGGCGGAACGUGGCGUGUAGCGGGGAAAUGCGUAGAUAUGCCACAGAACGCCGAUAGCGGAGGCGGCGCGCCAGGCCUGCAUUGACGCUCGGGCACGAAAGCGUGGGGAUCGAACAGGAUUAGAUCCCCUGGUAGUCCACGCCGUAAACGAUGGGCGCUCGUCGUCGGCGGCAGACAGUCGGCGGCCAAGCGAAAGCGAUAAGCGCCCCACCUGGGGAGUACGGUCGCAAGGCUGAAACUCAAAUGAAUUGACGGGG
rnacentral:rRNA from 1 species